rnacentral:rRNA from 1 species
UACGUAGGGUGCAAGCGUUAAUCGGAAUUACUGGGCGUAAAGCGUGCGCAGGCGGUUUGUUAAGUCCGCUGUGAAAUCCCCCGGGCUCAACCUGGGAAUGGCGGUGGAAACUGGCGAGCUAGAGUGUGUCAGAGGGGGGGUGGAAUUCCACGUGUAGCAGUGAAAUGCGUAGAGAUGUGGAGGAACACCAAUGGCGAAGGCAGCCCCCCUGGGAUAACACUGACGCUCAGGCACGAAAGCGUGGGGAGCAAACAGG